AGCAGCCUUCCCUCGAUUGCUUUGUGAGUACUGCUGCUGCCUUGUCGUCCUCCCCUGAGACUUGCCCUUGGUGAUUUGUUUCCCAGUGCUGAUGAUGGGGUCCUAGUGCCUUUGCUGUGAAAACCACUGAGUCCUGGACCAAAUAGCCACUCUUUCAUGCACUGAUGUAUCAACUAACAAGUGACCAUUUGUAUGUGCCUUCUGUGAGCCCUUCUGUACAAGAAUGUGAGGCCACAGAUUUAGAGCCAAGCACUAGAUUGAUAAACCAGACCCAGUGUUAUUGUCUGUCUCCAUUACUUUUGGACUUGGAGAAAAGCCAGACUUUGGGCUAAAGGAAGUGGCUUAAUGAUACAACUUGAAAGGCAUGGCCUAUCAUUAGAGUAAAACUUUAACUGAGGGAAAAUAGCAGACUAGAAUAAUAGGAACCAAGAAAGUAAGUUUAUUUUUCUCCUUCCCACCCAAGGACUAUUCUACACACAGAACUUCAUGAAGCCUCUGUGAAGACAUUAUUGAAGGCCAAGCAAUGAGCCUUCCUUGUAAUGAAGAACAACUGUCAGUUCUCUCAUGGCUCUUUCCUGCUUGGUCUCUAUCCUUCUGGCCACACACACUUCUGCUUCUCUGAUAUUGUGUUUUUCAAAAUAGCAUAGCAGUAUGCAUUUUAGUCUCUUUUUUCUACAAAAUACUGGACAAGACAUUAAAAUAAAGAGUUGUUUUUUUUUUU